rnacentral:snRNA from 1 species
GUGCUCACUUCGGCAGCACAUAUACUAAAACUGGAAUGAUACAGAGAAGAUUAGCAUGGCCCUUGUGCAAGGAUGACAUGCAAAUUCAUGAAGUGUUCCAUAUUUUU